rnacentral:rRNA from 1 species
UACGUAGGGUGCGAGCGUUAAUCGGAAUUACUGGGCGUAAAGUGUGCGCAGGCGGCUUCGCAAGUCGAGUGUGAAAUCCCCGAGCUUAACUUGGGAAUUGCGCUCGAAACUACGGAGCUGGAGUGUGGCAGAGGAAGGUGGAAUUCCAGGUGUAGCGGUGAAAUGCGUAGAUAUCUGGAGGAACACCGGUGGCGAAGGCGGCAUCCUGGACCGACACUGACGCUGAGGAGCGAAAGCCAGGGGAGCAAACGGG